AUUUAUAACAUAAUAAAGUAUGUGACUUACGGAUAUAUUUGUGUGAAUAUAUAUACAGGUAGAUGCACCAACAUCCGAAUACAGGUAAAAAUGCGGAGACUUUCACAUACAGAAAUGAUUUGGAAGAACAAAUCAAUUGCUCUUACUCAUAGGGAGUUGAUACAGGUCUGCCGCGUGCUGCUUUGAACUCCCAUGGUGUAAUAGUUCCUCUCAUUAUCAUGUCAGCAUCCAGGAUUACUAUGAACUCUGCAUCAAUGUUUCCAUGAUUAAGCCAAUGAAGGACUGCAGCUGGUUUGUUGAUAGCUGGGUACCUGAUAUUGCAGAAACAAAAUCAGAUUUUAGUAUCUUUUAAUUCCUACAUAGUAAUCUGUAUGUUUGUCAACCUUCUCUCCCUUUUUGUCAUGCAGUUGAGAGUGAUGAGUUUACAUGGGGUGGAGAACUUAAUGCCUAAAAGUAUCAAGACAAGGUAACUUAAAACUAAGGAUUUCACAAAUGUAGCUUUACAUGAAGAUAAUUUGUUCAUGUUUUUUCCCUUAAUAUUAUUGUCAAGAUAAACUGUAUAGUGCAUACAGUUACUUUCUGUUUGUUCACGCUAUGAAUCUCACAAACAUAGGCCGCCUAACAUCUAAAGAUCAAGUCCCUAUUAAAAGCUACUAAUUUAUAUGAAAUUCUGUAAUUUGAUUACAUAAACAUCCUCAAAUAUUGCAGACAUAACUAGUCAGGUAAUAUCAUUCAUAUUUGCACGGGGGUUCUACAAUGAGCUGGUGACAACAAAUGGAAAUUAUUAGUAAGGGAAACAAAAAACAGGGACUCAAGAAAAAGGAGGUCAAUUUUGAAUUAAAGUUCUAAACCUCUAGAAAGCAAGAAACUUCUAUAAGU
rnacentral:lncRNA from 1 species